AGUGAACGCUGGCGGUAGGCCUAACACAUGCAAGUCGAACGGCAGCACAGUAAGAGCUUGCUCUUACGGGUGGCGAGUGGCGGACGGGUGAGGAAUACAUCGGAAUCUACUUUUUCGUGGGGGAUAACGUAGGGAAACUUGCGCUAAUACCGCAUACGACCUACGGGUGAAAGCAGGGGAUCUUCGGACCUUGCGCGAUUGAAUGAGCCGAUGUCGGAUUAGCUAGUUGGCGGGGUAAAGGCUCACCAAGGCGACGAUCCGUAGCUGGUCUGAGAGGAUGAUCAGCCACACUGGAACUGAGACACGGUCCAGACUCCUACGGGAGGCAGCAGUGGGGAAUAUUGGACAAAGGGCGCAAGCCUGAUCCAGCCAUACCGCGUGGGUGAAGAAGGCCUUCGGGUUGUAAAGCCCUUUUGUUGGGAAAGAAAAGCAGCAGGUUAAUACCCCGCUGUUCUGACGGUACCCAAAGAAUAAGCACCGGCUAACUUCGUG
rnacentral:rRNA from 1 species